GAGGUGAGAGGCCUGGAGAGAGGUAAGAGGCCUGGCAGGCGAGUGUGAAGGCCUGGAGAGAGGUGAGAGGCCUGGAGAGAGGUGAGAGGCCUGGCAGGCGAGUGUGAAGGCCUGGAGAGAGGUGAGAGGCCUGGAGAGAGGUGAGAGGCCUGGAGAGAGGCGAGAGGCCUGGAGGGAGGUGAGAGGCCUGGAGAGAGGCGAGAGGCCUGGCAGGCGAGUGUGAAGGCCUGGAGAGAGGUGAGAGGCCUGGAGAGAGGCGAGAGGCCUGGAGGGAGGUGAGAGGCCUGGAGAGAGGUGAGAGGCCUGGCAGGCGAGUGUGAAGGCCUGGAGAGAGGUGAGAGGCCUGGAGAGAGGUGAGAGGCCUGGAGAGAGGUGAGAGGCCUGGAGGGAGGUGAGAGGCCUGGAGAGAGGUGAGAGGCCUGGCAGGCGAGUGUGAAGGCCUGGAGAGAGGUGAGAGGCCUGGAGAGAGGUGAGAGGCCUGGAGAGAGGCGAGAGGCCUGGAGGGAGGUGAGAGGCCUGGAGAGAGGCGAGAGGCCUGGCAGGCGAGUGUGAAGGCCUGGAGAGAGGUGAGAGGCCUGGAGAGAGGCGAGAGGCCUGGAGAGAGGUGAGAGGCCUGGAGGGAGGUGAGAGGCCUGGAGAGAGGUGAGAGGCCUGGCAGGCGAGUGUGAAGGCCUGGAGGGAGGUGAGAGACCUGGCAGGCGAGUGUGAAGGCCUGGAGAGAGGCGAGAGGCCUGGAGAGAGGUGAGAGACCUGGCAGGCGAGUGUGAAGGCCUGGAGGGAGGUGAGAGGC
rnacentral:lncRNA from 1 species